rnacentral:lncRNA from 8 species
UACGACCCCACUUUCACCUCUAUGGCAAAUGUUUUAUUUAACCUUUAUUUAACUUGAGUCACUGCCUGACUUAGAGACCCCUCAGACCGCCGCAUCAACAUGGAGGAAUAUAUCCCGUUAACAAGACUGACUGUUAAAUCCCUGGGGAGCUGUCAUCCCUCUUCAUUAAGGCGGGGCAAUGUCCAACGUCAUCCGCGUGUGAGAGCCUGGCCAGUGGGCGGCAGAUGGGGCAGGUUGGACGGCACACCUCUGGAAGACUACUGUUUCAGACUGAUAGCAGCACCGCAGACCCUCAUCAUCAGACAGACACAGGGAGAGGACACUGAUCCAAUCUUGGCAAAAAUGAGCUUGGCUCGGAUCCAUGAUAAACACAAGCUAAAGAAAUACUGGGAGGAGAAAAUCGAAAGUCACAGCGAUAUGAUGGGGAGUGAGGAAUCCAGAAUGAAGAGCAGUGCUUUAUCAAAGCUGCGGGACGAGUGGCUCAGGAGGCUGAUGCUUCGGGACCAGCAGCUGGAGCGUUCCGAAGAGAAACACAUCAGGAGGGCCAAGAUGUCCCAACAGACCUUCAAGAUACCCAGUCAAUGA